CCUGGUAUGACACACCGGUUUUGGGAACACAAGCGUUCAGUUGUGUCGACGCCAAGUCGAAGCACUGGUUCAAUAUUGACGCCAGACACGUUGUCCUGUCUGGCACACCCAAUGCUGCCCAACCGGUUUAUCACAAGAUACUACGUGAACACCACGUGAAUCCCCGACGUCCUUUGAACUUUCAAGAAAUGGUUGGGUUUGGUCAAGGGACUGGUAUUGGAUCUGAUAUAUUAUCAUUGUUGUCACACCUUUUCGCUAAAUAUGAGGUCUUGAAAAUGCUUGGUAUUGCUCCUUGUGAGGUGUUACCCAACGUUAAUGACGCCUGUCUGUAUAAGUGGUACAUACUUGACACCUAUGGCGAAGGAUGAGCCAGUUAUUUUCGAGUUUGUACUUUGGGUGCAUCUCGUUCCUCGGGUUGCAUUGCGCCCGCGACCCCAUAGGAGUUCCUGGUCUUGUCUCUUCGCCCCCAACCCCGAUAAACUCUAUGUGCCGUGAACGAAUGCUCAUCAGGUCGACAGUUAUUUGACGACGUAAAUCCAUCCAUAUUAACUGGCGCUGCGGCUGCGCUCAAUAGACUUCGUUGGGGAGUCUGAGCCUGAUAGGGUGUACCAGUCCAGCCGGUUAUGUACGGUUGGUAUGCUCUAUGAUAUGGAUCUCCAUCCACCUGUCAGCUAGGGGCAGACCCCAGUGUCUCAACCCUGGGUCUCAGAGGCGGUAACUUCUAGUCAGGCAGCGCGCUAUGUCUGGUUAGGCGACAUGGGUUACCAGGAGCAUCCACAGCCAAAAUGGUUUGCACAUGGAGGUCAUCGCGACCGACUUGUGAGGGGGAAGAAGUGAUGUCCAUGGCGGUUUCAAAUUGAUCUGACGACCCCCGCGUCUUCUGGACACGGAGGGGUUCAUGUGGCCAAAUCCUGUCAGCUAAAUCCUAUCGUUAGCAUCGUUCGCGGUACAUGGAAACCAAGGGCAUGGAACCCUUUUUUGUCUUGGUUUAAUUUCUCUGAGGAUUUCAAUGAUGAUAUAUAUAUUUAGAUCCACAGGUAUAGUCGGUACAUGUGGCGACUCGCCACAUGAGCAUUUUAAUAGUUUUUUUCGAGCAUUGUAAAAAGUUAUGAGAAUAAAUUUCCCCUUUGGACGUGUUUUUUUUACCAGAAUGACAAUCAAAAAGUUUGUCACUGGAGAGUUUCCCCAUCCCCCACCCCAGCCCUAGAAUAAUAUACAGACUAAAUAGUAUCUUUGGACUGUACUGGUAAUAUAGGUCAGUCACGAAAAAUAAAAUAUAUAUUGGACUGUACUGGUAAUAUAGGUCAGUCACGAAGAAUAGAAUGAUAUUGGACUGUACUGGUAAUAGAGGUCAGUCACGAAGAAUAGACUAUAUAUUGGACUGUACUGGUAAUAUAGGUCAGUCACGAAAAAAUGAAAUAUGUAUUGGACUGUACUGGUAAUAUAGGUCAGUCACGAAGAAUAGAAUGAUAUUGGACUGUACUGGUAAUAGAGGUCAGUCAAAAAAAAGAAAUAUAUAUUGGACUGUACUGGUAAUAUAGGUCAGUCACGAAAAUAUCUGAAAGUCUGUGCCCCAUUGUUGACGAAUAUAAUAUCGUGAGGACUUUAUCAAUAGUCACGGUCCCUGGCCCCUCCCACAUAAAAAUCAUUAGCAAGGUCACUGCAGGCAAUAGCUUCAGUAUUGUUAUUGUAUAAACAUGUCUUAAACAUUAUAAACGGCCCUAUUUGUGGGGUUACAUUGGGUUCUUGCUGGGGUAAUGGUGUCCAUGUCCGAUUCUGCGUUUAGUGGACUUGUAAAUCAGUCCAGCAGUGACAUUGCGUUUUGUGGACAUGUAAGUCUGUCCCGCAGUACCAUAUUUCACCCCAGCAAUUACCAAUAAGACCUGCACGUGACCUUAAAGUAAAUAGCUAUGCAAGUGUGGUUGAGACAAAACGCGAUGUAUGCAUUGGAAGAAGGAAAUCUGCGAAGAGUAGCUGGAACUGUCUGUCCAGCUCUCGUUUAUGAACCAAUGGGCGAUUUGAAAGACGUCUCCUGAACAGAUCGCCCAUUGUUAACUGAAGCAGCAUUCGAAUUGUCUCCAAUUUUUUCAGGUGGAUUGCGCCAUCUCCUGUGAUUUCGCUGUCCCGUCCCAAGAAUCGAGCCAACGCGAUCGAGUCCACUUUUGAGAGAUAAAUAUUCAGGAUGCCAAAUUUGUGGAACACAAUUGAGACCAUGUCAAGAGCCAUGAUCAGGGAACAGCAGUUCCCAACGGAAUUGACCCUUUUUCUUGUUGUAAUUCAUGCUGUUGGCUCAGAAUGGGUUGACACUCGCCUGUUUUCGACCCUGAAAAUUAAACAGCAAACAUUGUUACUCUUUGUUAAAAGUGAACCUUGCAAAAUGUGUGCUUAUUCCUGAAAUCAAUAGCACUUCAUGUAUGUACUCGCUGAUCCAGAAUAUUGCUAUUUCUUGUUCCGUUUUCAAUGUGGCAAUCCAUUUACCGUAUAUCUGAGCUAUUUCACACCACAAGAAGUGCAACAUUACAACAAUGGAGCUAUUUCUUGAUCACAGGAAAAAUGUGUUUCUACAUUGUUUUACUCAAAUGAUGCAUGGAUGAGCCUUAUUGACAUAAUUGUUUUCAAGAGGAAUUGGUUGUAGGUUUUCUUUCUUUUUUCUUAAGGCAGGCCUAAUUUAACAAAAGGCCUAUAUUUUAGGUAGGAUAUUAUUUAUACUAUAGGCCCAUAUCAGUUUUGAGAGCAAUUUCCUCUUGAAGACAUUAAAUGUCAGUCGAGUCUCUGCACCAUUUUGAUUGGGCGGUUUUGGGCUAAAAUACAGUACAAGAGAAUGCUCCAUUGGUGUUAACAGGAUAUGUCAUUGUUUUGGUCAGCGAUCAGUUCUUGCCACCUUGAAAGCGGUCACGGUUACUUAUGACUUGUACAUUGUUCAAUUGUUAUUAUGCUAUUAUCAUUUGCCCCCCCCCCCCCCCCCAUCCUUAUCGACACUCACAGUGCACCACCCUCCAUCCCGCACUGACCCAACAUCUGAUCCCUUGACACGCUUGCUCAAGCGGCUCAAGCGGCGUCAGCAGUAUCAACGUUGUGUUAUUGUAUUCCAAGUUUUGCAUUAUUUAUAUGUAUGUACUUGCCAAAUAAAUGUUGUCAUAUCAUAACCUUCGUCUCUUGU